CGCUGGCGGCGUGCCUAAUACAUGCAAGUCGAACGGUCUUUCUAUGGAAGCUUGCUUCCACUGAGAAGAUAGUGGCGAACGGGUGAGUAACACGUGGGUAACCUGCCCAUAAGAGGGGGAUAACAUCCGGAAACGGGUGCUAAUACCGCAUAGUUUUCUUGAUCGCAUGAUUGAGAAAGGAAAGACGGCCUUUGUGCUGUCGCUUAUGGAUGGACCCGCGGCGUAUUAGUUAGUUGGUGAGGUAACGGCUCACCAAGACGAUGAUACGUAGCCGACCUGAGAGGGUGAUCGGCCACAUUGGGACUGAGACACGGCCCAAACUCCUACGGGAGGCAGCAGUAGGGAAUCUUCCGCAAUGGACGAAAGUCUGACGGAGCAACGCCGCGUGAGUGAAGAAAGGUUUUCGGAUCGUAAAACUCUGUUGUCAGAGAAGAACAAGUUGGAGAGUAACUGCUCCAGCCUUGACGGUAUCUGACCAGAAAGCCACGGCUAACUACGUGCCAGCAGCCGC
rnacentral:rRNA from 1 species